rnacentral:rRNA from 1 species
GACGAACGCUGGCGGCGUGCUUAACACAUGCAAGUCGAACGGAAAGGCCCUGCUUUUGUGGGGUGCUCGAGUGGCGAACGGGUGAGUAACACGUGAGUAACCUGCCCUUGACUUUGGGAUAACUUCAGGAAACUGGGGCUAAUACCGGAUAGGAGCUCCUGCUGCAUGGUGGGGGUUGGAAGGUUUCGGCGGUUGGGGAUGGACUCGCGGCCUAUCAGCUUGUUGGUGGGGUAGUGGCUUACCAAGGCUUUGACGGGUAGCCGGCCUGAGAGGGUGAACGGCCCCAUUGGGACUGAGAUACGGCCCAGACUCCAACGGGAGGCAGCAGUGGGGAAUAUUGCACAAUGGGCGGAAGCCUGAUGCAGCAACGCCGCGUGCGGGAUGACGGCCUUCGGGUUGUAAACCGCUUUCGCCUGUGACGAAGCGUGAGUGACGGUAAUGGGUAAAGAAGCACCGGCUAACUACGUG